GGCCUACGGGGGGCAGCAGUGAGGAAUAUUGGUCAACGGUCGGGAGACUGAACCAGCCAAGCCGCGUGAGGGAUGAAGGUACAGAGUAUCGUAAACCUCUUUUGUCAGGGAACAAAGGCGGGGACGUGUCCCCGGAUGAGUGUACCUGAAGAAAAAGCAUCGGCUAACUCCGUGCCAGCAGCCGCGGUAAUACGGAGGAUGCGAGCGUUAUCCGGCUUUAUUGGGGUUAAAGGGUGCGCAGGCGGUCUGUGAAGUCAGCGGUCAAAGCCCGGGGCUCAACCCCGGCACGGCGGUGAAA
rnacentral:rRNA from 1 species